UACGAGGGGUGCAAGCGUUGCUCGGAAUUAUUGGGCGUAAAGGGUAGGUAGGUGGUCUUGUUUGUCUGAGGUGAAAGCCCAGGGCUUAACCCUGGAAGUGCCUCAGAAACGGCAAGACUCGAGUCCUGGAGAGGGUCGUGGAAUUCCCGGUCGUAGCGGUGAAAUGCGUAGAGAUCGGGAGGAACACCAGAGGCGAAGGCGGCGACCUGGACAGGCACUGACACUCAACUACGAAAGCGUGGGAGCAAACAGG
rnacentral:rRNA from 1 species